rnacentral:rRNA from 1 species
CCUACGGGAGGCAGCAGUGAGGAAUAUUGGUCAAUGGGCGCGAGCCUGAACCAGCCAAGUCGCGUGAGGGAUGAAGGUUCUAUGGAUCGUAAACCUCUUUUAUAAGGGAAUAAAGUGUGGGACGUGUCCUAUUUUGUAUGUACCUUAUGAAUAAGGAUCGGCUAACUCCGUGCCAGCAGCCGCGGUAAUACGGAGGAUCCGAGCGUUAUCCGGAUUUAUUGGGUUUAAAGGGUGCGUAGGGGGCUUGUUAAGUCAGCUGUGAAAGUCUGUGGCUCAACCAUAAAAUUGCCGUUGAUACUGGGGGUCUUGAGUAUAGUUGAGGCAGGCGGAAUGCGUGGUGUAGCGGUGAAAUGCUUAGAUAUCACGCAGAACCCCGAUUGCGAAGGCAGCCUGCCAAGCCAUGACUGACGCUGAUGCUCGAAAGCGUGGGGAUCAAACAGGAUUAGAUACCCCAGUAGUC